rnacentral:lncRNA from 1 species
CUCCACACAGCCUGGCUGUCAAAGCUGUAGUUUUCACUGUCUAAAGUUCAAAAGUCAGAGUCUGCUGAGGGAUGUGCUUAUGACAUCAAGUGGGAAACAGUGGUGGUCAUCCUUGGGAGGCAGAGUGAUGCCAAGAAGGAGAUUCUAGUGCUCAGGAAGAAGGAGAAGCAAUGGAAGAAGGAGGGAAACUGGAAGCCUUGGGCACCUCCAAAGGAGAGGAACUCCCAACAGGAUAGAGGAUGAAGAUGGGGAAGCUGUGAAGAUAAAGGCAAACUUGAUUGCUGAAGAUAUUUGAAUCUUGCGUUCACCUCCUCUGGACUGUGGCUUCCUAAUUAGACUACUUCAAAUGCUAACUCACCACUCCUAGGAUGUGGAUUAAAGUUAGCUUACAACUGGAAACAACCAAAAUGCCCACCAACGCGGGACUGCUUAAAGAAAGUUCGGUGCGAUCAUUUAGUGAGCCACUCUGCUGCUGAAAUUAAAAAAUAAGGAAGCUCUCUGGGCGCUGGUGAGGAAAGACCUCCCGGACAUAGGAUUCAGUGAGGAGAGCAAGUGAAUCUUCCUGACGGUUUCAAGGAAAACCUACAUACACAGAAGAAUGUCUGGGGGAAAUGAGAGGACGAAAGACAAAUUGAAGCCAAGAGGCUUCAACCCCUGCAAGGAUGGCUCCACAGCAUGGCUGUUGAGUGGAGUAGGUCCACUCCCGGGAUCUGAACCUGUGAACCCCAGGCCGCUGAAGUGGAGCACACGUGGAUCUUUGACCACUUGGCCACGGGGCCGGCCCCCACGCGUGUCCUUUUGAAGUCUGAAUCAUCUCCCAUCACAUGGCUGGACCACGUUUAGUUUAUCCAUUCCUCCAUCGGUGGAUAUUUAGGUUGCUUCCACCUUUUGGCUACUGUGCAUAAUGGGGC